UACGUAGGGUGCAAGCGUUAAUCGGAAUUACUGGGCGUAAAGCGUGCGCAGGCGGUUCGCUAAGACCGAUGUGAAAGCCCCGGGCUCAACCCGGGAAGUGCAUACGAAACUGGCGGACUUGAAUAUGGAAGAGGGUCGCGGAAUUCCCGGUGUAGAGGUGAAAUUCGUAGAUAUCGGGAGGAACACCAGUGGCGAGGGCGGCGACCUGGGCCAAUAUUGACGCUAAUGUGCGAAAGCGUGGGGAGCAAACAGG
rnacentral:rRNA from 1 species